rnacentral:tRNA from 1 species
CAAGGACUAGCUCAAUGGAUAGAGCAUCAGACUUAGGAUCUGACUGUUCUGGGUUCGAAUCCCAGGUCACUCGU